GUACUGCUUAUGUUACGCAGUACUUUCUAGUCAACGGAGCCUAAACCAUGUGAAAUCUACAAUUCUCCAUUACGAAUUAUGAUACGAGUUACGUUGUAACAACCGAUUGCCGAUCAGUGGAAACAGAUUCUUAUCCUCUGGAAAAUAGUAUGUCAAGACCUGCCAUGGAUUGAUUUCUGGCUGCGUCAGUUAGAAAGGCAAAGAUUCUGCAAGGCACUGGAGGAAAGUGAAUGCGUCCAAUACGAUUUCUGGCAUUUUUGAGAAAAAUAUGGCCGAGGGCAGUGCAAACGGCAGCGAUAGACGGAUCCGCAUUAACGAUCAGAUUGUACAAUGGAUAGGGCGCGAUUAGAACGCUUCAGCCAUAAGGACGCGCUACAGCUGUUGCACAACUUCGGCUAGCUGAAAUUGGUUCGCUUUCUACGCGACCGGAAGCUUGAUCAACUGGGAAGAUUCUAACAGAACUCAGAGCGCCGCCUUCAUGUCGCGCUGAAGCAAAAUGUUCCGCUCCGAGUACAGAUCACCGUGGCCCACAUGUUCAAACAGAAGCAGACAGCCGGCCUGGUCAUCUUGACGGAGGGUACCGUCGAUGCAAAGAAAGAGGACAGAUAUGUGUGGCCGCAUCAUCACCUGUCAUUCGGUGUUUUUGACACCUAGUUGCGUAGGAUAAAAGGCAUUCCGGCGUUUUUCUUAAUUGACUUAAUGCCUCCAACGCGUGUUUACCCAGAGAUCAGUGUUUUUAUUAGUUAGCUCUUCUGAAUAGUUUUGC